UCCAUGCAGAAAUCUGACUACAUCCAGUGCAAAAAGAGCACAUAUAACAGAGGAAAUAAUUAGACAGAGAAAUUUACAUGGCUAAUAAAUCAUACAUGAAAAUGGGCUCAUUCGGGUAGCUAGCUUAGCUAGCAUCCUUGUAUAACUCUAAGAUUAAUAUUAUUAUUAUCACUGCUAUUCUUCUCCCUCCUGUUUUCUAAAAUCUUAUGCAACUCCUCUGGCCUGCAAGGAACAGCAAGAGCCCCCUUCUGUUCAAAUCCAUAUUCUUCCUCAGCUUCUUCUAGCAACCUCAAAAACUCAGGGUUUUUCAAGGACUCUAAUUUCACCACAAACCUCUCUGCCUCCUUGCCCUUCACUGCAAAAACAGCAAAAUGCCCUUCUUUAACAUCUUCUGGCACCACUGUGGCUUCAUCAAAAUCAUUGUGGUGAUGAAGGCCUCUGGCUGAUAAAAUGGAGAGACCCUUCUGCACAAGCUUCCGAAUGAGCAGCCUCAGCGUCACGAGACCUCGAAUGUCGUCUGGUUUCUUUGAUCGGAUUUUCAGUGUAGACAUAUUAUUGUGUGUUGAGGACUUGGACUCAAGAGCUUGCUUGCUUUGUUUAUUUUGAUGGGUGAUGGUGAUUUUCCGUGGAGGGUGUGUUUUAUAGUGGGUUUUUGAGAAGGAAGCCAGAGUGGGAAAAAAGGAAA
rnacentral:lncRNA from 1 species